rnacentral:rRNA from 1 species
GACGAACGCUGGCGGCGUGCCUAAUACAUGCAAGUAGAACGCACAGUUUAUACCGUAGCUUGCUACACCAUAGACUGUGAGUUGCGAACGGGUGAGUAACGCGUAGGUAACCUGCCUGGUAGCGGGGGAUAACUAUUGGAAACGAUAGCUAAUACCGCAUAAUAUUAAUUAUUGCAUGAUAAUUAAUUGAAAGGUGCAAUUGCACCACUACCAGAUGGACCUGCGUUGUAUUAGCUAGUAGGUGAGGUAACGGCUCACCUAGGCGACGAUACAUAGCCGACCUGAGAGGGUGAUCGGCCACACUGGGACGGAGACACGGCCCAGACUCCUACGGGAGGCAGCAGUAGGGAAUCUUCGGCAAUGGACGAAAGUCUGACCGAGCAACGCCGCGUGAGUGAAGAAGGUUGUCGGAUCGUAAAGCUCUGUUGUAAGAGAAGAACGGGUGUGAGAGUGGAAAGUUCACACUGUGACGGUAUCUUACCAGAAAGGGACGGCUAACUACGUG